GUUUCUUUUAAUUAUUUUGUAGGUUAUUGUCCAAGAAAAAUUCAAGAAAAUAGAAAAUUUUGAAGCCUCGCCAUCCAGAACCUUGGCACGGCCCGUGCUCACACUGGCACGGCCGUGCCAGACCUUCCUCAACCAAACAAGUGGCCAAAACCAGAAUGUUGGCACGGCCCGUGCCAAGCUUGGCACGGCCGUGCCCGACACCAGGUGACUAUAACCCUACCUUUUGAAAUUCUUCUUCCCUCACUCUCCAACACAAACUUCUCUCUACUUCCCACCUUCUCUCUCAAAACCUCCAUAACCAUACAUCUACAAACCUUCACAACUACCCUCAAAUCACACCCAUUCACAAAAUUUCUCCACCCAAUCAACCCCUAACACCAUUCCAAUCAUAACCCACCAUUCCAAAACAACUUUCAUCCACCAAAACCACCAUCAACCCAAAUUCGUAACCCUCCAUACCCUAACCCAAAAACCAUAAAUUUUUCACCAACCUCAAUAACCCAACCCCAAAAACUCACCUAAACCUUCACCACAACACUAAUCCAACCUCUUUCCACCAAAACAACACUUAACCCAACCACCACACCAAAGGCAAGGUUCAGGCAAUGACUUCAAAGAGAAGUGGAAAGGAAGUUGCAAGCUCAUCCGGAGGACCUCCCCCGAAGAAGAAAGCACAAGCAAAAAAUCAUGGCAUCAUCUUCCGGGAUAACAAGCAAAGGGAUAGGAAAGAAUAUUUGAUGGAGAGAGUCUUGGAGCAAAAGAAAGGGAUUUGGAGCAGAUUGGACACAAAAACAUGAAGAUUGGGAAACAAAAUAUAUCUCCCACAAGUCAGAAGCUUGGCACGGCCCGUGCUAGCCUUGGCACGGCCGUGCCACCCUCCAGAUGUCUUUUGCUGCUUUUUCUUUGACUCCAAGCUAUUCUAUUUUGGCGCAUAAUCUAC
rnacentral:lncRNA from 1 species